rnacentral:RNase_P_RNA from 1 species
GCAGGCCGGUCUGUCGCCCGAUGGAAUAUUCGGGAGGAAAGUCCGGGCAACGCAGGGCAUUAUGCUUCCUAACGGGAAGUUGCCGGCGACGGCAAGCAAAGCGUAACAGAAAACAUACCGCCGGCAAUGCCGGUAAGGGUGAAAAGGCAGGGUAAGAGCCUACCGCCUGUCCGGUGACGGGCAGGGCAGUACGCACCAUAAGUUGCAAGACCAUGUAUACCGGCAAAUGAGGGCUGCCCGUCCGAUGCCGGGGGGUAGGUUGCUAUAAGGCUUGUGGUGACACAAGUCGCAGAUUAAUGACAGACAGCGGAUUCUUUCCGCCACAGAACCCGGCUUACAGGCUUGCUG